CCUACGGUGGGCAGCAGUGAGGAAUAUUGGUCAAUGGUCGGGAGACUGAACCAGCCAAGCCGCGUGAGGGAUGAAGGUACAGAGUAUCGUAAACCUCUUUUGUCAGGGCACAAAGGCGGGGACGUGUCCCCGGAUGAGUGUACCUGAAGAAAAAGCAUCGGCUAACUCCGUGCCAGCAGCCGGGGUAAUAAGGAGGAUGCGAGCGUUAUCAGGAUUUAUUGGGUUAAAAGGGUGCGCAGGCGGUCCGUUCAGUUAGCGGUAAAAGCCCGGGGCUCAACCCGGGACCGCCGUUGAAACUGGCAGUCUCGAGUUGGAGAGAAGUAUGCGGAAUGCGCGGUGUAGCGGUGAAAUGCAUAGAUAUCGCGCAGAACUCCGAUUGCGAAGGCAGCAUGCCGGCUCCACACUGACGCUGAGGCACGAAAGCGUGGGUAUCGAACAGGAUUAGAUACCCCUGUAGUC
rnacentral:rRNA from 1 species